rnacentral:rRNA from 1 species
GACAUAGGUGGCGAACGUUAUCCGGAAUUAUUGGGCGUAAAGGAUGCGUAGAUGGUAUAGUAAGUUAUCGGUGGUAAAUCGAGGCUCAACCUCGUGGAAGUCGGUAAUACUGCUAUACUAGAGGAUAGGAGAAGUUAACGGAACUUCCUGUGGAGCGGUGAAAUGCGUAGAUAUCAGGAGGAACACCGGUGGCGAAGGCGGGUCUCUGGGCCGAUACUGACGCUGAGGAGCGAAAGCGUGGGGAGCGAACAGG